rnacentral:misc_RNA from 1 species
AAGUCGUAACAAGGUUUCCGUAGGUGAACCUGCGGAAGGAUCAUUACCAAAUCCAAAUUACCCAACCCCAUGUGAACUAUUGUUUGUUGUCCUUGGGGGAUUGGAGGAAAAGAAUAUGAUAUUUUUUCAUAUUUUUGGAUUGCCUUUCCCCCAAAAGAAUCCGGCACUCCGGUGUUUCGUGAUUCUUGAUAAACUACAGAAUUCUUUUUUUUUUGGAAUGACUUUUUAUUAACAUUAAUAAAGACAACUUUUAACGGUGGAUCUCUUGGCUCGU